GAUGAAGAACGUAGCGAAAUGCGAUAAGUAGUGUGAAUUGCAGAAUUCAGUGAAUCAUCGAAUCUUUGAACGCACAUUGCGCCCCUUGGUAUUCCAUGGGGCAUGCCUGUUCGAGCGUCAUUUGUACCUUCAAGCUCUGCUUGGUGUUGGGUGUUUGUCUCGCCUCUGCGCGUAGACUCGCCUCAAAACAAUUGGCAGCCGGCGUAUUGAUUUCGGAGCGCAGUACAUCUCGCGCUUUGCACUCAUAACGACGACAUCCAAAAGUACAUUUUUACACUCUUGACCUCGGAUCAGGUAGGGAUACCCGCUGAACUUAAGCAUAUCAAUAAGCGGAGGA
rnacentral:misc_RNA from 1 species